rnacentral:rRNA from 1 species
AGAGUUUGAUCCUGGCUCAGGAUGAACGCCUUUGGCGUGCCUAACACAUGCAAGUCGAGCGAGAAAUUUACGAAUGAAAUUUCGAUGGAUUUUGUAAAUGGAAAGCGGCGGACGGGUGAGUAACGCGUAGGUAACCUGCCCCAUACAGAGGGAUAGCCACUGGAAACGGUGAUUAAUACCUCAUAAAACUGAGAAUACACAUGUAUACUCAGCCAAAGAUUUAUCGCUGAAAGAUGGCCUCGCGUCUGAUUAGCUAGUUGGUGAGGUAACGGCUCACCAAGGCGACGAUCAGUAGCCGGACUGAGAGGUUGGCCGGCCACAUUGGGACUGAGAUACGGCCCAGACUCCUACGGGAGGCAGCAGUGGGGAAUAUUGGGCAAUGGGCGCAAGCCUGACCCAGCAACGCCGCGUGAAGGAAGAAGGCUUUCGGGUUGUAAACUUCUUUUGACAGGGAAGAGUAGAAGACGGUACCUGUCGAAUAAGCCACGGCUAACUACGUGCCAGCAGCCGCGGUAAUACGUAGGUGGCAAGCGUUGUCCGGAUUUACUGGGUGUAAAGGGCGUGUAGCCGGGUUGACAAGUCAGAUGUGAAAUCCUGCGGCUUAACCGCAGAACUGCAUUUGAAACUGUUGAUCUUGAGUACUGGAGAGGCAGACGGAAUUCCUAGUGUACCGGUGAAAUGCUUAGAUAUUAGGAGGAACACCACUGGCCAAAGCCGGUUUGGCUGGACAGCAACUGACGGGUGAGGCGGGAAAGCGUGGGGGGCAAACAGGAUUAGAUCCCCUGGUAGUCCACGCUGUAAACGAUGGAUAGUAGGUGUGGGGGACUGACCCCCCUGCGUGCCGCAGCUAACGCAAUAAGUAUCCCACCUGGGGGGUACGAUCGCAAGGUUGAAACUCAAAGGAAUUGACGGGGGCCCGCACAAGCGGUGGAUUAUGUGGUUUAAUUCGAUGCAACGCGAAGAACCUUACCAGGGCUUGACAUCCUACUAACGAAGUAGAGAUACAUUAGGUACCCUUCGGGGGAAGUAGAGACAGGUGGUGCAUGGUUGUCGUCAGCUCGUGUCGUGAGAUGUUGGGUUAAGUCCCGCAACGAGCGCAACCCUUAUUGUUAGUUGCUACGCAAGAGCACUCUAGCGAGACUGCCGUUGACAAAACGGAGGAAGGUGGGGACGACGUCAAAUCAUCAUGCCCCUUAUGUCCUGGGCUACACACGUAAUACAAUGGCGGCCAACAGAGGGAUGCAAAGCUGUGAAGUGGAGCGAACCCCUAAAAGCCGUCCCAGUUCAGAUUGCAGUCUGCAACUCGACUGCAUGAAGUCGGAAUCGCUAGUAAUCGCGGAUCAGCAUGCCGCGGUGAAUACGUUCCCGGGCCUUGCACACACCGCCCGUCA